GCCCCAUAUAGGGUCUUACUGGCGUAGUAUAUGGCAUGCAUCUUUUUAUCCUUUCUUUGACCUAACACUGCUCCAACCGCAUAGUCGUUUGCAUCACACAUUAUUUCAAAAGGCAAGUUCCAAUCUAGUGGUUGUAUGAUUGGGGCGGUAAUUAGUGCUUCUUUCAACCUGCAAAAUGCCUGCAAACAAGAAUCAUCAAAGACAAAGUCUGCAUCUUUGAGAAGCAGACUUGUUAGUGGUUUAGUGAUUGAUGAAAAAUCUUUAAUGAAACGGCGGUAGAACCCUGCAUGUCCUAGGAAACUUCUAAUUUCUUUGACUG
rnacentral:lncRNA from 1 species